GACGAACGCUGGCGGCGUGCUUAACACAUGCAAGUCGAACGGAAAGGCCCUGCUUUUGUGGGGUGCUCGAGUGGCGGACGGGUGAGUAACACGUGAGUAACCUGCCCUUGACUUUGGGAUAACUUCAGGAAACUGGGGCUAAUACCGGAUAGGAGCUCCUGCUGCAUGGUGGGGGUUGGAAAGUUUCGGCGGUUGGGGAUGGACUCGCGGCUUAUCAGCUUGUUGGUGGGGUAGUGGCUUACCAAGGCUUUGACGGGUAGCCGGCCUGAGGGGGUGACCGGCCACAUGGGGACUGAGAUACGGCCCGGACUCCUACGGGGGGCAGCAGUGGGGAAUAUUGCACAAUGGGCGGAAGCCGGAUGCAGCAACGCCGCGUGCGGGAUGACGGCCUUCGGGUGGUAAACCGCUUUCGCCUGUGACGAAGCGUGAGUGACGGUAAUGGGUAAAGAAGCACCGGCUAACUACGUG
rnacentral:rRNA from 1 species